CCAGAGAAUUUUAGCCAGAGAUGCUUUUAGUGCCUUCGGGAACUCUGAGACAGGUGCUGCAUGGCUGUCGUCAGCUCGUGUUGUGAAAUGUUGGGUUUAAGUCCCGCAACGAGCGCAACCCUUUAUCCUUUGUUGCCAGCACGUAAUGGUGGGAACUCAAAGGAGACUGCCGGUGAUAAACCGGAGGAAGUGGGGAUGACGUCAAGUCAUCAUGGCCCUUACGAGUAGGGCUACACACGUGCUACAAUGGCGCAUACAAAGAGAAGCGACCUCGCGAGAGCAAGCGGACCUCAUAAAGUGCGUCGUAGUCCGGAUUGGAGUCUGCAACUCGACUCCAUGAAGUCGGAAUCGCUAGUAAUCGUAAAUCAGAAUGUUACGGUGAAUACGUUCCCGGGCCUUGUACACACCGCCCGUCACACCAUGGGAGUGGGUUGCAAAAGAAGUAGAUAGCUUAACCUUCGGGAGGGCGUUUACCACUUUGUGAUUCAUGACUGGGGUGAAGUCGUAACAAGGUAGGCGUAGUGCU
rnacentral:rRNA from 1 species